rnacentral:rRNA from 1 species
GACGAACGCUGGCGGCGUGCUUAACACAUGCAAGUCGAGCGGUAAGGCCCUUUCGGGGGUACACGAGCGGCGAACGGGUGAGUAACACGUGGGUGACCUGCCCUCAGCUCUGGGAUAAGCCUGGGAAACCGGGUCUAAUACUGGAUAUGACUCCAUGACGCAUGUUGUGGGGUGGAAAGCCUUGUGCGGCUGAGGAUGGGCCCGCGGCCUAUCAGC